GAAUUCUUUCCUUAGCUGUUCAAUCUUGUUGGUAAAGUAGCAUGCAAAACUAUCGGCUGUAAGGUUAGUUUAGGGGGUGGCCACAGCAGGGUAAAGAAGGGAGUUAAAGGUAUUAAAAAGACGCCUGGGAUUGCGAGAGAAUGAGCUAAUGACGGAGGAAAAGUAUGACUGUUUGGCAAGGGCUGUGCUCUAUGAACGCAAAACAUGAAUUUGUAGUGGAGGGAGUCAGACUGGG